GAAAGCCCCGCAAGCA
rnacentral:tRNA from 1 species